rnacentral:rRNA from 1 species
UGGGGAAUAUUGCACAAUGGGCGAAAGCCUGAUGCAGCGACGCCGCGUGAGGGAUGACGGCCUUCGGGUUGUAAACCUCUUUCAGUAGGGACGAAGCGCAAGUGACGGUACCUGCAGAAGAAGCACCGGCUAACUACGUGCCAGCAGCCGCGGUAAUACGUAGGGUACGAGCGUUGUCCGGAAUUACUGGGCGUAAAGAGCUCGUAGGCGGUUUGUCACGUCGUCUGUGAAAUCCUAGGGCUUAACCCUGGACGUGCAGGCGAUACGGGCUGACUUGAGUACUACAGGGGAGACUGGAAUUUCUGGUGUAGCGGUGGAAUGCACAGAUAUCAGGAAGAACACCGAUGGCGAAGGCAGGUCUCUGGGUAGUAACUGACGCUGAGGAGCGAAAGCAUGGGUAGCGAACAGG